CUGACAUAUGCAACUAUACUUAUUCAUAAGCCCAGUCUUUUCCUAGCCACUCUUUUCUAAAUGGAAGAAAAAAAUUGCCUCUUGAUAAAUAAGUAAAUACGGUUACAGUCAUAUUUUAUGUCGAUGCCACCCAGGUAUGCAAGUAUCUCCCACACACGGAUGUGUACUAUGAGGAUGUACAGACAAAUUGGCACAAAUAAGUAGACACAUAAAAAUUGGUAGGAAAGUAAAAAGGAAGUGUGGGUCUUUGAGGGCAGGGAAAGAGGGGUGGAGAGCCGUUAGAAAAGUGAUGGAGACCUCAAGUUGGUAGCAGAACAAAGGACAAUGUGGCCAGUUCACAGUGCCAGAUCUUCAAAUAGAUGUGUAGCUUUUUGAUAAUUCUCAAUAGAACAAAGAGAGGGCCCACGAGCAUCUCUCUCCUGAGAACAAAGUGGGAGCAGGAGUCCUGGGCUGGGUUGCCAGAGCCAAAUCUGUUCCAUUGCUUCCGAGUUUUCAGAUUCAGCCAACAGGAGAACAUCUACUCUUCAACCAAUUUCAAGGAUUCUGUGCCUUUCCUUUUAAGCACGUAAUAUAUUUUUUCUCUGGGAUUUCCGCAAAGACAGAUUUGGGCUCUAUGAAGCACUCAAAAGAAUCAGAGCCAUGAUACUUGUCUUCAAAGCCUGCUUUCUAAGCUUGAGAGACCAAGUACACCCAAACAGGAAGCUUGAAGAGCAGACUCUGAAGCCAUUCUGCCUGGGAUGGAAUCCUGUCUCUAACACAUAUUAGCCUGUACUUGGGCAAGAUACUUAACCUCUGUGUGCCUCAGUUUUCUCCGCUAUAAAAUGGGAACAAUAAUCAAACCUACCUAAUAAGAUUCUAAAGUGAAAAAAAGCAACAAAGAGGCUUCAAGGCAGAAAGUGGUGGGACAAAGUGAAACUUCCAGGACCUCCUUUGGAGGAACCAAACAAUAGACUAGUGGUGAUGGUGGGCAAAGCCGUGAAAGUUUGGGCGGGAGAGUGGGGAAAUGUGGAGAUGUUCACAGAGACGCCUGGGGAAAUUACCCCAGAAGCAAGUUUUUGGUGAAAGUACCAUCCUUGCUGUCUUCAUGAACCACACAGGGGAGAAUGGAAAAAGCUCUGGACAGAGCUCUAACGUGGUGUGAUAUCAGAAGACACGUGCCGGAGAAAAGCCCUACCAGUGUAAGGAAUGUGGCACACGUUCCAGCCAGAGCAGAGCUGGGAGUCCACACCCAGGAGAGCCUCAGGGUGUGCAGUGAGGAGGGAGAAAGCUUUGCUUCUGGCUCACACCUCACCAUGCCCCACUCCAGGAAGAGGCCAUAUCGUUGCCUUGACUGUAAGAAAACCUUACGUGCCCCACACAGAUGGUGCAUCAGAGAAUCCACAUUGAAAUGAAAGCAAAGAAUGUAGUGAGAGUGGCAAAAGCUUCAGGUAGAGCUCAGCACCCUCAUGAGCACUAGGUGGCGACACUGAGCCAAAACUUCGUCCUUGUGUCAUGUGUGGGAAAAGCUUGAGGUAAAGCUCAUGCCUCAUGGUGCCCCAGAGAAUCCAGCUAGGGGGAGACCCUACAAUGCAAUGGUGUCAGGUGGCUUCUGCCCCAGCAUAACCUUCAUGAUGCACAGCAGAGAAGCCCUGCAAAUCCUGGAUGUGGGAAAGUUUUGGUCAUGGCACCAGCUUAAUUUUACAUUAUAGAAUCUCCUGGAGAGAAAACUUACCAGUGUUGUGCAUGGGAGAAGAGAUGUGGUGGCAGCUCUCAUCUUUGAAGAUACCAGAAAACCCACAGCUCAGGAAUGGUUCAACAGGGGAGAGUUCUAUGAGAUUCGAUUUCCUUGGUCAUAGGCAACUUACUGGGCAACGAGAGAAUUCACUACCCAAAAGCUUCUUUUUUUCUGGAACAUCUCUAGGUUGUUCUUUCUUCCUGGAUCCAAACCACCGGAGCUGCACUUUCUGCAAUGAGAGAAAGAUGGAAAACUACAGAUCAAUGUCGUUUUCAGCAGAGAAAGAAGAUUCUGGCAAGCAGAGCUUUUUAACAUGGAAGAGGCUGCGUUGGGAGGCAAUGAACUCCUCAUCACUGGGAGAGGUUCAUGCAGAAACUGGAUAAUCAGCUGCCAGAAUGUCUUCUCCAGUUCAACACAAUUAAGCACUUGUUACAUGCACCGGCCUAUAGACUGAAAGGGGAUUCCUCCAUUGAGUGGGAGGUUGGGUUUGAUAAUCCCACAGGACCCAUUACAAUUCAAAGAUUCUCUAAUUGAAUGAUUUUAUCACAUCUUGGAUCAAAACUGUUUUUCACACAGAUGACAAGAACAGAGUUUCACCGCUUUAUAAUGUUUGAUGUUUAAUAAUAUAAGACAUAGUUUUAAGAGCUCAGCUUUUGGAGGCAGUGAUCUGAGUUCAGAUGCUGGUUCUGCCACAUAUGGGCUAUGUGACUUUGAGCAAAUGAAUGAACUAAUCUGAACCUCAGUUUUUCCCAACUGUAAGAUGAGGGUGCUAAUACUUGAAACCAGCUCAUAAUGCAGUGAGGAUUAAGUGAGAUGAUCUACAUAAAGUGCUUAGCAUGAUGUUUAGAACAUGGUAAAU
rnacentral:lncRNA from 1 species